CCAAUUUCAACUCUCAGCUUUCAAGGAAGAAGGUUGAAGGAAAUAAUAAUAAUAAUAAUAAUAAUACGUGGACAUUUUCGUAAGGAAAUAAGUCCGCUCAUUUCUCUCACUUCCAUGUCCAAUGGAGCUUCAAGAAAAGAAGAUGGCGUCUCUCUCGUCAGACUUCCCUCCCAUUCCCAAACUAUCUUCUUCCACCUCUACUGUCAAACAACAAAACAUAAUGAAACUUAUCAUCUCUACUUGCUUCAUAUCUGCAAAUAUUCUAUCGCUUCUUCCAUUUGACUAUAAGAACGGAAACCGAAUUCCAUCAAUUAUUUUCAGAAGACUUCCAUCGAAUACCUUCCAUGCGUUUGCCAUGUCUCUUGUUUUAGCCUUCAGCAGUUCAUUUAUCGCUUUAAUGAUUGAGAAAGAGACAAAGCUUGUGAGGCAGAUCUGCUGGUAUUUAUCUGUGAUUUCCAUGGCGCUUGCUGGGGCAAUUCUUGCAUAUGCAAUUUCUUUAUCCAGUUUCAACUGAGUUAUGCAUCAAGGAAGACUAACUUGAAGAUCUAAUUCUUCUUCAUGUAAGGCUAUUAUCUAGCCAUAUACUUUUGGUUGUAAUACGUCUCGAAUAAUCAUAAAUUCACAUCUCGCAAAGUCAGCCACCAAAAAAUCGGCACCACCGCGCAUCUGCUAUAGUCUGAUCAAACGCCGCCACCAUGUCGAAAAUCCCUCCACCACAGAAAUCGCAAAACGCAGAAGGGCAAACAAAGCAGAUGAAGAUUAUCUUAUCGGCUUCUUUCAUGAUAGGCAUAAUAAUAAGUAUACUUCCUCAAGAAUCCAUUAAUGGAAAUUUAGUUCCGACCGUCAUCUUCAAAGGCCACACUUCAAUAUUUCAUGCCUUCGUGAUUUGCACAAUAUUUUCUUUCUCGGGUUCGUUUUGCUAUUUGAUGAUUGAAAAUAAGCACAAGCUUAAUAUUGCUAAAUUUUGCAGGUACUACUCAAUGAUUUCCAUGGCUUUAGCUUUAUCUAUACUUUUUUACGCUUUGGUUUUGGAUGGGCUCAAUUGGGUUCCCCCUGCAAAGCAAGUCAUGGAAGAACAGAAGUAGAAUGAACGAAGCGCAGUAGAAAUUUAGCAUACGCUGUGUAAUGUAAAUAUUAACUUUAAUUUUCCUCUUAAAGAAUCAAACUUUUAGAUUAUGGUUGUUUUUUUUUUUUGGUUUAAUUUUUGUGACAAGUAGUUUGUGUUUGUCUUACGCUGUGUAAUGUAAAUAUUAACUUUAAAUUUUCCUCUUAAAGAAUCAAACUUUUA